CAGGAGUGGGACUGCUGGAUCAUACAGUAAGUCUAUUUUCAGUCUUUUGAGGAAUCUCCAUACUGUUUUCCAUAAUGGCUGCACCAAGCUAAUGAUUAGACACUGGAACAUGGGUGCAGAAAAACCCACCUGCACAAACACAUCACGAGUCAGAAAUCACCAGAGCAGCCAGAGGUGGCUCUGCCACACUGCUGCUUUCAUCUUAACUGAGAACGUCUGAUUGCAGAACUGUUUGUUCAGGGCCCUCGCAGUGAAGGAGUCUAGAAUGUGAUGCUUGUCUGCAGCACAGGGUGGGGCCCAGUAAGGAAGGGAGGAUGCAUGAUGGUGGGGGGCGUGCAAGGUAAUACAUUAGGUGAUGUAGCAGGAAGGGCCAGGCCCCUGCUCAGCAGACAGCAGAGCGGUACUUCAUUGUGACCUUCUAGGCAAGAGGGAGUGCAGGGCAGUGUUGGAUAGGGGAGGUCAGUGGUCAUGGGCACUGACCCUGCAGCUAGGCAGGACUGGUGUGGAAUCCCAGGUCUCCCACGCCCGAGCUAAGGGACUUGAGCAGGUCACUGGGUCUCUCUGGGUUUUCCUUUUGUCCUCUGUAAAAGGACAGGGAUGGACGGUGGGGAGGGAGGUGGCCCACAAUGACCUGCAGCCAUCCAAUCUGCUUGGAGGGUGUGAGUGCGGCCCUCAGCCUCUCAGAGUCUCCCUUUCCUCUUAGGCUAUUUCACGAGAGCACAUGGGAGCCUGAACUGGCACUAACGGGCUCCCUGGUGGUGAAGGCAGCACAAGGCCUUCUGCUCUAAGGCGUCACCAGUGCCCCUCCCCGCACGUGGGAUGUGGGCAGCCCCUCUCUGUAAGCAGGAGAACAUUCUGCAGUCACACCUGAGAAUACCCGAACAGAGAUUAAUGUGGGUUAGUGAUUCUAAAACCUCUUUUUUAGCCCAAGAACCUCUUCUUUAUUUCUGCAAACAAAAUAUUUUGUAGGAUCUAAUGUAUUAAACAGAUACAACUUGGAGCUCUUCCGACGGCGGUAGGGGAGGGGAUCCCUGUUGCCACCCUCUCCACUUCCCCAUCUUGUCCCCACCCCACCAACUCCUGCAGAUCCCAGGACCUCCUGAAAGCACAGUUUGAAACUCUGACUGGUCUACGGCGAGAGUCAUUCCAACACCAGAAGGCCUAAUUCUGGUCAGAGCUCACCAUUGUCAACUGUGUGGUGGUGGACCAACCACUUUCUCUCUUUGGUCCUCAGUUUUUUCAUCUAUCAAAUGGGGACAAUUCCCCAGCUCUGCAGUUUUGUCUCGCUCCGGAGUCCACAGGUACGAUAGUGCUGUGAGCUGAAAACACAGCUGCGGUUUGGUUUGCACCUCGUCUCCUCCUGCAGACGCAUCUCACUGGGUCAGUAGUCAGAUGAUAAGCUGGACCUCCAGACUUUCAAGAUGAGUCUUUUUUUCUAUUUUUUUCUUUUUUUCCUUUUAUUGAAGUAUAGUUGACUUAAACAAUGUUGUGUUAGUUGCAGGUGUGUAGCAAAGUGAUUCAGAUAGAUACAGAAAUACAUUCUUUUUCAGAUUCUUUUCCACUGUAAGUUAUUACAAGGUAUUGAAUACAGUUCCCUGUGCUGUACAGUAGGACCUUGUUGUUUAUCUAUUUUAUAACAAAAUGAGUCUGUUUUGCAAUUCUACUCUAACACCAAAAUGUGAAAUGAUCUGUCUGCCUUAUUUCCAUCUUUCCUGCAAUGGAAGUCCCUCUCUCUUCUCCUGCCCCCAGCUCUCUGUGGUCUCGGAACCCCAGGUCUACCUGCAGCCUGGAUGGUCAGAGUCUUCACCACUCUCUUCUCUCUGCACCCGCAGCCCUGCCCCAGCCCACCCUUCUCAAGUCGCCCCAGAGUCCCUCCUGCAGGACCGUCAUUCCAGCAGGUGUACCUCCAAAGAAGGCAAGGAAUCCACCAUUCCCGCGCCACCGCUCCCCCCACCGAAUUCCGGACAGCCUCGGCCUGUUCGGCUCCCCACCUUGGCAUCUUUCAGAGCCGGGCCAACAGCUACUUUCAUGACUGCUUCCCAUGUAACACAGAUGACCGAGGGGCCAGGCUUAAUGUCCUCACUUGUAGGAGCUAGAAAUCCCACGACCUUGUCUAGAGCCAGCCCUUCAUAGAGAGACCUUAUUUGAAUGACGACAUAAUUGCUAAUUGGCAGGGCAACCUUUAAAAUGGCUUACACUCUACACAGGGGAGGAUGCCAAAGCCAGUGGGUUGUAAUUCUUUUCUAGCAGAGCGAGCACUGAGAAUAGAGGAGCGAGAAGAAAGGGGUCAGAAGAUCCAGCUCCAGAGUCUGGAGACGGAGGGUCUGGGUUCAACAAUCUCUCCUCCCCUUCCUGCACAUGCGAUAGCUUCCCUUCUCGUAGCUCACUUUGCUGAUCUGCAAAACCAGGGCAGAGGGACCUUUGCUGCUUGUUAGGUUUGGGCGAGGCAGGCACAGCAGUCCCCUCGCCGUCAGCGCGGGGCGGCUGGGGCUGGACAGACCGUGGCUGUGCGGGCUGCUCCGUGUGCUGUCGGCUGCUUAGAGGCAUCCUUAGCCUGUCCCCACCAGAUGCCAGUAGCACCCUGCCCUCAGUUGUGACAACCAAAAAUGUCCCUAGAUAUUCCCAGCACCCCCUUAGGAGCAAAAUCCCUCCCAGCUGAAAAGCACUGGUACAUGUGAACACACCAGGUAAGCAAACUCUUCGCUGCCUUGCCUGGAUGUGGCCAGCACACUUUUAUCAAUUCAUUCACUAAGUUGAUAUAAAGCUGAGAGCAGUUUUGAGAGUGAAAAUCAAAGCUGUCAGGCAAACACAGACCCUCUCCUCUUUCCUCCUGCCACCCUACCUGCCAUCAAAGACCAGGUGCGCUUGGCGACAGCCUGGCCUUAACCACCCAGCCCGGCCCGGAGCGCUCCCCUCUGCUGGCUGGAUACUUCUUGCGGCGUGGGCCUCACCCUUGUGAAGUUGGAUGCAUUAAUACCAGCAAAAUAUUUCUUAAUCUCCUAAGCCUCCACUUUGAAUCCUUAAAAAGGAAAGAAAGAAACGGCAUCAAUCUCUUAAUUAGGACGUCCAAUCACUUCAAUAAAUAUUUACUUGGUUCCGCAUGAGGCACGGAAACCCUGCGCCCUCGAUCAGUGGAGGUCGGCACAGUGCGCCUUGGGGACAGCGGGAUGCGGCCGGGCCCGGCUCUGGAUGCAGAGUGCUGGGAGGGCGUUUCCAGUCCUCCCACUUCUGCUAAAGAUAGGCGCCAGCAAACGUGCGAGGAGCGGAGUCACACGGCGUUUCUGCAUCACCGUCAUGGCCACCAUAGCCAGCUGUCAUUGAUCACUCACUGUGCCAGGUUCUGCUCUCGGUACUACAUGCACACGACCAUCGAUCCUCAGAACAACCCUCUGAGGUGAGCAGGACUGUUAUCUCCACUUUACAGAUGAGGAAAUGGAGGCUGAGCAAGGUCGCAUAGCUCGGACCAGCCAGAGAGUUGGAAAUGGGGUUGGGAGACCCUGGGAAGUCCCUGGACCUCUCAGAGCUCAGUUCCCUUCCCUGAAACGAGACGGUUGCAGGAUGAGCUCCAAAGGGGCUCCUGGCUCCCUCUGGGACUUGCUGAGCCCUCAGGUCUCCUGUGGCCUGCCCUGCAGCCCCGCUCUGCCUUCCCGGGAAAGCCAAGAUGCAGAGCCGGUGCAGAGUGGAGAUAAAGACUCUGGAGCCAGACUGCCUGGGUUCAAGUCCAUCAGCCACUGAAAUGACUUUGGGCAAGUCUUUGUACCAUGGCAUGUCAAUUGCCCCCCUGUAAAAUAGGGGUGAUACUGAUAGUACCUACUUCAUUCGCGGUGAGAGGAUUAAGUAUGUUAAUAUUUGUCAAGCGCUCAGAACAGUGUCUGGGACAGAGUUAAGCACUAUGUAAGGGUUUGUUAAAUAAAUAAAAAAUCCUUUUCCUUUU